AUUGAACGCUGGCGGCAGGCCUAACACAUGCAAGUCGAGCGGAUGAAGGGAGCUUGCUCCUGGAUUCAGCGGCGGACGGGUGAGUAAUGCCUAGGAAUCUGCCUGGUAGUGGGGGAUAACGUCCGGAAACGGGCGCUAAUACCGCAUCCGUCCUGAGGGAGAAAGUGGGGGAUCUUCGGACCUCACGCUAUCUGAUGAGCCUAGGACGGAUUAGCUAGUUGGUGGGGUAAAGGCCUACCACGGCGACGAUCCGUAGCUGGUCUGAGAGGAUGAUCAGUCACACUGGAACUGAGACACGGUCCAGACUCCUACAGGAGGCAGCAGUGGGGAAUAUUGGACAAUGGGCGAAAGCCUGAUCCAGCCAUGCCGCGUGUGUGAAGAAGGUCUUCGGAUUGUAAAGCACUUUAAGUUGGGAGGAAGGGCAGUAAGUUAAUACCUUGCUGUUUUGACGUUACCAACAGAAUAAGCACCGGCUAACUUCGUG
rnacentral:rRNA from 1 species